GAAGGUGUGCGUCUUUUAUGAAAUAAUGAGGGCCUAGCAUGGAGUCGGCGGGAGACACUCCUUUCAUCAGCGCGGCUGGAUAAUGGUUACCAUGGUGACCGAGGCCAUGGUGCACUGGCACACAGAUGUGACCACCCUCCUUCUCCUCCUCCACUUCCCCUCUCCUUGUCUCUCCAUCCUUGCCAAGCUGUUUGGGGAGAGCCUCUCUCUGAGGCUGUCAGUGGUCCAGGGCUGAGGGGAGGCAGAGUGGCACCCGAGGGCCAGAUAAGGCGGCCGCACCCGCGUGACUCCCAUUCCACCGGGACAGAUAACAUGGCCGCCCGCGCCACAGCCUGUCCACCGCUCAAACCACACUCAGGUGAACACACCCAGGACAGAGAGAGAGAGAGAGAGAGAGAGAGAGAGAGAGAGAGAGAGAGAGAGAGAGAGAGAGAGAGAGAGA